rnacentral:rRNA from 1 species
UACGAAGGGGGCUAGCGUUGCUCGGAAUCACUGGGCGUAAAGGGCGCGUAGGCGGCCAUUCAAGUCGGGGGUGAAAUCCCGUGGCUCAACCACGGAAUGGCCUUCGAUACUGGACGGCUCGAGACCGGAAGAGGUGAGUGGAACUGCGAGUGUAGAGGUGAAAUUCGUAGAUAUUCGCAAGAACACCAGUGGCGAAGGCGGCUCACUGGUCCGGUUCUGACGCUGAGGCUGCGAAAGCGUGGGGA